GAGAGAAAGGAGACGCCCCAGAAACAGACGGAAUCCGUUCGUUCGUUCGUUCGUUCGUUCGCACGGCGAGAAGAGAGCGAGCCGCCGCCCCCCCUCACGCCCGCCGCGCCGGAAUCCUCACCGGAGCCUCCCCGAUCCGGCCGCCGCCGAGCCGAACCCGAUCCGCCGCCCGUCCAUGGAGGGAGUCGGGGCGCGACUCGGCCGGUCCUCCACCCGGUACGGCCCCGCCACGGUGUUCACCGGCCCGGUGAGGAGGUGGAAGAAGAAGUGGGUCCACGUCCCCCCGUCCAGCAGCGCCGCCGUCUCGAACGGCGUCGGUGGCGGCCUGAACGGCUCGGCCGCGGCGGCGGCGGCGAACGGCGGCAACGCGUCGCAUCUGGUUCUGUACAAGUGGACUCCGAUUACGCAGAGCGGCAAUACCAACGGCGGCGGCGGCGGCGGUGGCGGCGGCAACGGUAACACUGGUAGCAACGGUGUUGAUAAGAGCUCCGUGAACAGCGACGCUGCCGCGGAGGAGCCGCCGCGGCGUAAAUUCAAGUACAUUCCGAUUGCUUUACUGGAAGAAGAGAAAGAUGAGGAUGUAGAAAUUAAUGCUGCAGAAGAUGUUGAUGAUGAAGGAAAGCCAAGUGAAAACGAUCUUAGUUCAGUUGAACCAAACAACAAGAGUGGUGGUUCUGAUGAAAAACCAGACAUCAAUAAUAUACCAAUGGAAGUGAGUGAGGACUGAGUUCGUCAAUUUGUGCCAAGAGAAAAAGAAAGAGUUGCAUCAGUCAGUUUAGGCUUCCUUAUCAGGUUCUCGGAUACUAUGCAGUGACUCAUAAACUUGUAAAAAUAGGAUGAUAACAAAGGGGUACGGCAAGAUCUCAAUGAGAGCACUCUAGAUUUGAGUUUGAGCUUCAAGGCAGGUGAAGGGAACCAUGAUGUGGAUUGAAAGUAAGACCAAACAGUGGAUUGGCAGUUCAGGAAGAUGUGAUGCAACAUAUCAUCUGCAGUUUUCAUCGACGCAAAGAGAGAAAGCAGAGGUUUCUUUCCUUUGCGGACCCAAGCACGAGUCUACAGGACUUCCAUUUUUACAUGAGCUGUCAGUCUUCAACUCUGGCCUUUAACCCAACUUAUCCUGAGUUCUUGAUCAUUCUGAUCAGUCCGGGCGGACGCUGUGUUUAAUUUAGUUGCUAAACAUUGAUUUGCAUCUAUUCUUUGAGUCUGGAACUUGCUGGAGAUGCUAACUUAAAUAUUAGUGGAACGAGAUGCAUAGUGAAACUCUUAACACAGUGAUACCUUUGCACCGUGUUUCUUUUCAAAAGAAAUUCAAGGAUUUCAUCUCAAA